GAUGAACGCUGACAGAAUGCUUAACACAUGCAAGUCGAUGGGGAAGUGGUGCUUGCACCAUGGUAACCAUGGCGGACGGGUGGGUAACGCGUAAGGAACUUACCUGCGGGACCGGGAUAACAGCAGGAAACUGCUGACAAGACCGGAUAAGGUCAUUAAGCUGCAUAGCUUAGUGAUGAAAGGAGACGCCUGCGGAGAGCCUUGCGUCCUAUUAGCUAGUUGGAGGGGUAACGGCCCACCAAGGCGAAGAUAGGUAGCCGGCCUGAGAGGGUGGACGGCCACAAGGGGACUGAGAUACGGCCCUUACCCCUACGGGAGGCGGCAGUGGGGAAUAUUGGACAAUGGGGGCAACCCUGAUCCAGCAAUUCUGUGUGCACGAAGACGGUUUUCGGAUUGUAAAGUGCUUUCAGCAGGGAAGAAGGAAGUGACGGUACCUGCAGAAGAAGCGACGGCUAAAUACGUG
rnacentral:rRNA from 1 species